rnacentral:rRNA from 1 species
UCGAGCGAUGAAGGAGAUACUUGUAUCUUUUGAAGAGCGGCGAACGGGUGAGUAACGCGUGGGGAAUCUGCCAAUGAGUGGGGGACAACAUUUGGAAACGAAUGCUAAUACCGCAUAAAAUCUAUUGAGACAUCUCAAGAGAUUGAAAGGAACAAUUGUUUCGCUCGUUGAUGAUCCCGCGUUGUAUUAGCUAGUUGGUGAGGUAACGGCUCACCAAGGCGAUGAUACAUAGCCGACCUGAGAGGGUGAUCGGCCACAUUGGGACUGAGACACGGCCCAAACUCCUACGGGAGGCAGCAGUAGGGAAUCUUCGGCAAUGGACGAAAGUCUGACCGAGCAACGCCGCGUGAGUGAAGAAGGUUUUCGGAUCGUAAAGCUCUGUUGUUGUUAAAGAACGUUGAUGAGAGUGGAAAGUUCAUCAAGUGACGGUAAACAACCAGAAAGGGACGGCUAACUACGUGCCAGCAGCCGCGGUAAUACGUAGGUCCCGAGCGUUGUCCGGAUUUAUUGGGCGUAAAGCGAGCGCAGGUGGUUUCUUAAGUCUGGUGUCAAAGGCUACUGCUCAACAGUAGUGUGCAUUGGAAACUGGGAGACUUGAGUGCAGGAGAGGAGAGUGGAAUUCCAUGUGUAGCGGUGAAAUGCGUAGAUAUAUGGAGGAACACCGGAGGCGAAAGCGGCUCUCUGGCCUGUAACUGACACUGAGGCUCGAAAGCGUGGGGAGCAAACAGGAUUAGAUACCCUGGUAGUCCACGCCGUA